rnacentral:lncRNA from 1 species
UUCUGUUAAAGUCUUGCUAGGAUGGAUUACAUUCAUCUCUUGAACUUUUCUUUGGUAAUCCCGGACAGCAUUGGCAGCAGCACCACCAGCAAGAACGGCCUCUUCAAGCUCACGUACAGUUUGGGUAAGCUUUUCAACCUCUGCAACUUUUUGUCGAUGCAUCCUGUCCAAUAUUUUAUUUUCUUCCUGAUGUAUGUUUGUAUGAAAAACACAAUCAAGGGAAGGAUGAUUUAGAAAUCAAAAGAACAACAAAUUGGUCUAAUGUUCAUAACAGCAGAAGCACAAUCUCUAUGAUCAACGUACCUGGCAUAUUUCUAUCUGUUUCAUCAAUUCCUGGUUCUUGUUCUGAAGAUCAUCCACCAUAGACGCCUUUGCUAAUGCUGACUGCAC